rnacentral:tRNA from 1 species
GGGGAUAUAGCUCAUUUGGUAGAGCGCUUCCAUGGCAUGGAAGAGGUGUGGGGUUCGAUUCCCCAUAUCUCCA